rnacentral:misc_RNA from 1 species
AUUGGUACAUUCACAGCUUGUUCUUUGGCUUUUGUGUACAAGUGGACGUAACGUUAAUACAUUGGACGUGCGUGCAGUAUACACCUACUAUCAUAACUACAGUUUUGCGAGCUGACCUGGGUCCAAAACCGUGUGACUGUCUUUGGCUUCGUCUUUUCCCGCUGCCACGGCCAGGCUUGAUGUUUGUCACCUCCGCUAAUUGCAACAAGCGAUUACGGUGCUGCCGCAACAGCGGGUCCUCCCUACGAUUCAUUUUAGCCGGUGCAAGUGGAAUCCUGUUGUUCCAGCAUCCUGCAAUCACAUCGUCCAACGACGAUAAUUUUGUUUUCCCAACGUCG